GAUGAACGCUGGCGGCGUGCCUAAUACACGCAAGUCGAGCGAACGGACGAGAAGCUUGCUUCUCUGAUGUUAGCGGCGGACGGGUGAGUAACACGUGGAUAACCUACCUAUAAGACUGGGAUAACUUCGGGAAACCGGAGCUAAUACCGGAUAAUAUUUUGAACCGCAUGGUUCAAAAGUGAAAGACGGUCUUGCUGUCACUUAUAGAUGGAUCCGCGCUGCAUUAGCUAGUUGGUAAGGUAACGGCUUACCAAGGCAACGAUGCAUAGCCGACCUGAGAGGGUGAUCAGCCACACUGGAACGGAGACACGGUCCAGACUCCUACGGGAGGCAGCAGUAGGGAAUCUUCCGCAAUGGGCGAAAGCCUGACGGAGCAACGCCGCGUGAGUGAUGAAGGUCUUCGGAUCGUAAAACUCUGUUAUUAGGGAAGAACAUAUGUGUAAGUAACUGUGCACAGCUUGACGGUACCUAAUCAGAAAGCCACGGCUAACUACGUG
rnacentral:rRNA from 1 species